rnacentral:rRNA from 1 species
CAUGACACUUUCGGAGGCGGUAACUCCUUUUCUAGGAAGAAUCGACGUACUAGGAUAGCACGCUACUCGUGCAGCAGCCGCGGUAAUACGGAGGGUGCAAGCGUACUCGGAAUCACUGGGCGUAAAGGGCGCGUAGGCGAUUAUCAAGUCUCUGUGAAAUCUAAUGGCUUAACAUAAACUGCUUGGGAAACUGAUAGUCUAGAGUGAGGGAGAGGCAGAUGGAAUUGGUGGUGUAGGGGUAAAAUCCGUAGAUAUCACCAAGAAUACCCAUUGCGAAGGCGAUCUGCUGGAACUCAACUGACGCUAAGGCGCGAAAGCGUGGGGAGCAAACAGGAUUAGAUACCCUGGUAGUCCACGCCCUAAACGAUGUACACUAGUUGUUGGGGUGCUAGUCAUCUCAGUAAUGCAGCUAACGCAUUAAGUGUACCGCCUGGGGAGUACGGUCGCAAGAUUAAAACUCAAAGGAAUAGACGGGGACCCGCACAAGCGGUGGAGCAUGUGGUUUAAUUCGAAGAUACGCGAAGAACCUUACCUGGGCUUGAUAUCCUAAGAACCUUUUAGAGAUAAGAGGGUGCUAGCUUGCUAGAACUUAGAGACAGGUGCUGCACGGCUGUCGUCAGCUCGUGUCGUGAGAUGUUGGGUUAAGUCCCGCAACGAGCGCAACCCACGUAUUUAGUUGCUAACGGUUCGGCCGAGCACUCUAAAUAGACUGCCUUCGUAAGGAGGAGGAAGGUGUGGACGACGUCAAGUCAUCAUGGCCCUUAUGCCCAGGGCGACACACGUGCUACAAUGGCAUAUACAAUGAGACGCAAUACCGCGAGGUGGAGCAAAUCUAUAAAAUAUGUCCCAGUUCGGAUUGUUCUCUGCAACUCGAGAGCAUGAAGCCGGAAUCGCUAGUAAUCGUAGAUCAGCCAUGCUACGGUGAAUACGUUCCCGGGUCUUGUACUCACCGCCCGUCACACCAUGGGAGUUGAUUUCACUCGAAGCCGGAAUACUAAACUAGUUACCGUCCACAGUGGAAUCAGCGACUGGGGUGAAGUCGUAACAAGG